rnacentral:tRNA from 1 species
UCCUGGCUGGCUUAGCAGUAGAGUAUAUGACUCUUAAUCUCAGGGUUGUGAGUUCAAGCCCCAUGCUGGGUG